rnacentral:lncRNA from 1 species
UCCCCCCACUCGGCACCCCUGCUCCUGCCUAGUGAACAGGACUCCUGGCUACUCUGCACCGGCUUUCUAACUUUCUGAUGGGGAUGCAGUCCUUUGCAUUCCAGGGGUCACAGCAACACCCGCAUCGCCCGUUCUCAGCCGCACUGGGUCUCCGCCUGCAUCACUCGACUCUAAAAUUUCCUUCCCUAGUGCACGGAACUGCUGUCCAGGACUGUGCUCUCCGACUACCUCAGGGAGGAUUCUGUUUUGGGAAAAGAAUCACUGCAGAGGACCUAAAAAUAACCACACAUCCAAUGCAGGACACACUGGCAGAACGAAGCCUGUUACAGCUAAGGCCAAAGAAAGGGGCACAGUCACCAUCAAGCUGAAGACCAGCCUCAACUGGACUGGACAGGAGUAUCACUUAGGACAGGUAAACACUGCGGCACCAAAAUGGGUGCAUCUCAACACAAAGGAGGUAUUUUAAAUUCAAUACCAGAAGAAUCAAUUGGAGUCGGGGAGAGUUUACAGGGAAGAAAGGGGAGCUUAAUCUAUAAAGAUAGCUGACAUCACACUACAAGAUGCUCAUUAAAUACAAAAUGGUCAAUCAAAUAACAGUUUGAAAGUAACGAGAAGAAAAGGCUUCAUAAAUGAAGGGUGAAAAACUGAAAAUGAUCUCCUCAUCUUGUAUAUUCUAGUUAUUUUUAUACUUAGUUAUACUUAGAACCACCCAGAGUGACUAAUCUAACAGGGCAGGUGAAGACUAGAAAAUGUUGUCAAUUAAUCUACAUUUUCUAAUAAGAGACAUAAAUAUUUGAAAUGUUUUGUGUCACCAGGAAGAAUAUACUACUAGAUACAUGUGUAUUCUUUUUCCUAAGUAAUGCCACUUCACACUUCACACAGAGAUAGCCUAACAACAGUGAUUCAUUGGUUGUAUUUGCUCAUGAGAAGAAGCCAGGACAACUUUGGUAUUGUGAAGAUCUAAUCUGUAAGGAUAUUUUACCCAACAAAAAAGAAAGUACAGAU